rnacentral:rRNA from 1 species
UGGGGAAUAUUGCACAAUGGGCGCAAGCCUGAUGCAGCCAUGCCGCGUGUAUGAAGAAGGCCUUCGGGUUGUAAAGUACUUUCAGUCGGGAGGAAGGUGGUAAGGUUAAUAACCUUAUCAAUUGACGUUACCGACAGAAGAAGCACCGGCUAACUCCGUGCCAGCAGCCGCGGUAAUACGGAGGGUGCAAGCGUUAAUCGGAAUUACUGGGCGUAAAGCGCACGCAGGCGGUUGAUUGAGUCAGAUGUGAAAUCCCCGGGCUUAACCCGGGAAUUGCAUCUGAUACUGGUCAGCUAGAGUCUCGUAGAGGGGGGUAGAAUUCCAUGUGUAGCGGUGAAAUGCGUAGAGAUGUGGAGGAAUACCGGUGGCGAAGGCGGCCCCCUGGACAAAGACUGACGCUCAGGUGCGAAAGCGUGGGGAGCAAACAGG